CUGAUACCAAUUGUUGGAAAUAAUACUGAGAGGGGGGGUGAAUCAGUAUUAUUAAGUUAUUUUAAUAAAUCUUCUUUAUUUACACUUUGAAUUAUUUUUGCAUGUCAGUGCCAUAAAAUAAUGAGCAUGAAUAAAGAAAAUAGAUAGUCACACCAAAGAACACCAGAUGUAAGGUGGAAACCCAAUGUGGGUGAAAACCACCUGCUGCAAUAUGUCUCUAUCUCCUUUCAAAUUAGAAACUUUUUUUACAAAGGUUUUGUACUGGUGCAGUCCUUUACCAGUACGUAGGCUGCAACCUGCAGAGAGCUACAACUCUCUCUCGUUUUCCAGUCUCUCCUGGAAUGGAGCUACAACCCCCUACUUUUUUUCUUUCAAGGACAACUUUUCAUAAAUUUUCUAACUGGAUCCAUAAACAUCAAAAGAUCAUCAAGUAUAAGAAAAUCACCCAGUCAACUGCAACAACCAGAUCAAUAGUAACAGUAAACUAAACCCAGAGCACCUUAUCAACAGAAAAAAUUCAGCCAACGAAAGGUCUUAAGAUAGAUAUGCAGUUUUUCUUUCUCUGGUCUGCAUGCGAACGCACUUCACUUUCUGCUCCCCUGUGAAUACCUGCAGAGACCCUUCUGUCGUACCACUUUCCCAUGCACUGCUUCUUCAAUCACGCUACGUACUGUUACUGUAAGCACGCACCCACAGAUACUAUCGCGCCACGUACUGCUACUGUAGCUGUGCACCCAAAGAUGCUAUCGUGCCACGUACCUACGCACCUGCGGCUUCUGAAGUGCCGCGUACUUUCCCUGUGCCUAUGCACCUGAACCUCUGUCGCGCUGCGUACCCACACACUACGCCUUCUUCUGCUCUGCGCACCCACGCACUUCUCCUUUUUCUGCUCUGCGCACCCACGCACUUCUCCUUCUUCUGCUCUGCACACCCACGCAUUUGCACCGUUAAUCACCUGCGUACCUCUGAUUAGGGAAAAAAUGGCAGUCCCCCAGUGUGCCACCGAUAGUCAGAUGCUCAGAUCUAAUCAUGCGCUCGAGAGAUCACCCUUCAUAGAUUCGCUUUCAACUUCACUUUUAUAUAGAUCAAGCUUUAAAAAAAUAACCCAAUAUUUCAGAUCUUAAGAUAUUCAAUUUUUGAAAGAUGCAUAGCCAAGUGAUCUCCUUUCCUUUAUAUAGGCAAGCUCUUCCUAAAAUCAUGGAUCAAUACCAUAGAUAACCAAUACAAGGGGUCCAAAAACAUGGGGCUCAAUAAUAAUAAUAUAAAGCAAUACCAAGGGGAAAAACCAUAGAAUCAAUAACGAUGGGCUAAAUACCACGGGCCAAAUAUAAGAAAACCCCACGUGAGCGCACUUCUCUGCCUUGAAGUAAGUGAACUGGGGGUAUGCACCUUCUGAAUAGGUUACCUGCGUGUGCAGCCGCAGUCCCUGCACGACGUACCUGCGGGUACGCACCUUUUGAACUAUUCUCCUGCGUAGGUCUUAAUUUCCAACAUUUUGAGAGCUUGAUCAGUGCAUUGCCACUUGAGGGUGUUGCCAUCAAGUACAACAUCUGUAUCAUAGAGCCAUACCAGAAUCAUAAUGCCAACAGGAUGCUGAGACAAUUUGAUUUCUACCCAUUGCUCUAAAUGUCAAAGUGAAGAAAUUCAACCAAGCACAGGUAAACGACAGGAGUAACUAUGACUCCCUUAAGGUAUCCAAAUGCCUCGUCAUCUAUUUAGUGAUGUGCAUGAAUGCAUUAAUGAGAUUCCCAUUUUCCCUAUCUACUAUCUAGGGAAACCAUAACCAAGGGAAUAGGCUUGGUAGAAUCAACAGGGAUAGAAGAACCUGUUGUGCUUGACUCUAGUCUGACUUUGUGAAAUGACUUGAGAGGUGUAGAAUAUUGGGAGCCAUUUCCAGCACAAGUGAAAUACCACUACUUUUAACGUUAUUUUACUUAUUCCAUUGGGUGGAGAUGGGGUACUGCCCUUGUUUUUGGCCUAAGGCAUGUUUUGCCAGGUCAAUCUAGGUGGAAAACAUUAUCAAGUGGGGGGUUUGGUUGGGGCGACACAUCUGUUAAAAGAUAACACAAGUGUCCUAAGAUGAGCUCAAUGAGAACAUAAAUAUCAUGUGGAACAAAAGGGUAAAAGCUCAUUUGAUUUUGAUUUUCAAUACGAAUACAAAUCAUGAAAGUGUGGCCUAUUGAUCCUUUAGAUUUUUGGAAUUUGAAGUUAGAGGUGUCAGAAAAGUUAAUACAGGAAUAACUAUCUUGUGGCAGCCAAGCAUCCAUAGCGACGUUGCUUUUUGAUCCUUCAAUGUCGACUAUUCCUAUCAUUGUGAAGCAGAAUUCACCAAGUUUUAGAUUUUUCACCCACCAAUAGGUAACAUGAGCUAGGUCUAGACUGUCAUGAGAUAGGUCAAUUUUACCCUACCGAUGAACCGCACUGCAAUAGUAAUUCAACUUAGUAUGAGAGGAACUGUUGAUUCACACAAUUGGUCAUCGUGCUUGGUUGAAAAUCCAGUGGUGCGAAGGUACCAUGUGUCUGAUUAUGACUGAAUGCCUCUAAGUCAGAAUCCAUGCUAGAAGCGGUGCAUGUCACUCUUCGACUGUACCUCAACCUGCAGUAGGGGCAUCACUUUGUCACCCACAGGGUCCCGUGUCAUUUUCAAACAGUGAUCGUGAAGCAUCUCAGUCAGGAUAGUUUUGAAGUUCAAUUCCAAAAGGUCGUUGAGAAGAAAUCUUUGCAAAUGAUGUAAAUACACGAUGAGGUAUUUUUAGUGGGAAAGUGGCCUUACUACCAUGAUCCACUCAGAUUUAGCCCUUGGUUGCCU
rnacentral:rRNA from 1 species